rnacentral:rRNA from 1 species
GACGUAGGGCGCGAGCGUUGUCCGGAUUUAUUGGGCGUAAAGAGCUCGUAGGCGGCUUGUCGCGUCGACUGUGAAAACUCGGGGCUCAACUCCGAGCUUGCAGUCGAUACGGGCAGGCUAGAGUUCGGUAGGGGAGACUGGAAUUCCUGGUGUAGCGGUGAAAUGCGCAGAUAUCAGGAGGAACACCGGUGGCGAAGGCGGCUCACUGGCCCGGUACUGACGCUGAGGUGCGAAAGCGUGGGGAGCAAACAGG